rnacentral:rRNA from 1 species
UACGGGGGGGGGCAAGCGUUGUUCGGAAUUACUGGGCGUAAAGGGCUCGUAGGUGGCCAACUAAGUCAGACGUGAAAUUCCUCAGCUUAACUGGGGAACUGCGUCUGAUACUGGAUGGCUUGAGAUUGGGAGAGGGAUGCGGAAUUCCAGGUGUAGCGGUGAAAUGCGUAGAUAUCUGGAGGAACACCGGUGGCGAAGGCGGCAUCCUGGACCAACACUGACACUGAGGAGCGAAAGCCAGGGGAGCAAACGGG